rfam:Picea glauca, whole genome shotgun sequence.
UCAUAUGUACAUGCCUACAAUGUUAAUGCACUGAAUCCCAAUAGAAAUAUACAGUUAAGCACACAUGGGAUAGAGUAGUAUUGGGAUAGGUGAUCAUUUUGAAGUCCUUGUUUUUACAUGCC